rnacentral:tRNA from 1 species
AAAAAUGAAAUCAAUUUAAGAUGUUUCAUUUACAAUGAAAAUUUUGUAGUAGAAUUACCAUUUUUU